rnacentral:rRNA from 1 species
GACGAACGCUGGCGGCGUGCUUAACACAUGCAAGUCGAACGGAAAGGCCCUGCUUGCAGGGUACUCGAGUGGCGAACGGGUGAGUAACACGUGGGUGAUCUGCCCUGCACUUCGGGAUAAGCUUGGGAAACUGGGUCUAAUACCGGAUAGGACCGCACUUUAGUGUGUGUGGUGGAAAGUUUUUUCGGUGUAGGAUGAACUCGCGGCCUAUCAGCUUGUUGGUGGGGUAAUGGCCUACCAAGGCGGCGACGGGUAGCCGGCCUGAGAGGGUGUACGGCCACAUUGGGACUGAGAUACGGCCCAGACUCCUACGGGAGGCAGCAGUGGGGAAUAUUGCACAAUGGGCGCAAGCCUGAUGCAGCGACGCCGCGUGGGGGAUGAAGGCCUUCGGGUUGUAAACUCCUUUCGCUAGGGACGAAGCUUUUUGUGACGGUACCUAGAUAAGAAGCACCGGCUAACUACGUG